GUUUUGAUUUGCAUUUCUCUGAUUGCUAGAGAUGGAGUCUUAUUAAGGAAUUUGGGGCCUGCCUCCACGAGAUGAAGAUGAGGACCAACUUUAUCUUCUAUUAGACGCAGCGUCUCUGGUCUGAUUCCUCAGUCUGCCAUCUUGAAAGCCUGACCGUGCAGAACCCCUGAAGCUUUCCUGGGAGGAACCAUCACCACCUUCAGAAAGGCCACCUUGACUUG